rnacentral:rRNA from 1 species
AUACGUAGGGGGCGAGCGUUGUCCGGAAUGAUUGGGCGUAAAGGGCGCGUAGGCGGCCCGGUAAGUCUGGAGUGAAAGUCCUGUUUUUAAGAUGGGAAUUGCUUUGGAUACUGUCGGGCUUGAGUGCAGGAGAGGUAAGUGGAAUUCCCAGUGUAGCGGUGAAAUGCGUAGAGAUUGGGAGGAACACCAGUGGCGAAGGCGACUUACUGGACUGUAACUGACGCUGAGGCGCGAAAGUGUGGGGAGCAAACAGGAUUAGAUACCCUGGUAGUCCACACUGUAAACGAUGAAUGCUGGGUGUAGGGGGUAUCGACCCCUUCUGUGCCGCAGUCAACACAAUAAGCAUUCCGCCUGGGGAGUACGGCCGCAAGGUUGAAACUCAAAGGAAUUGGCGGGG